UUGAUCCUGGCUCAGAACGACGUUAGCGGCGCGCUUAAUACAUGCAAGUCGAGCGAGAAAGGGCUUCGGCCCCAGUAAAGCGGCGCACGGGUGAGUAACACGUAGGUGAUCUACCCUCGGGCGGUGGAUAACACCCCGAAAGGGGUGCUAAUACAGCAUAACGCCACGGCACUGAUAGUGCUGAUGCCAAAGCGGGCCUCUCUAUAGAAGCUCGCACCUGAGGAUGAGCCUGCGGCGCAUCAGCUUGUUGGUGGGGUAACGGCCUACCAAGGCGAAGACGCGUAGCUGGUCUGAGAGGAUGAACAGCCACACUGGAACUGAGACACGGUCCAGACUCCUACGGGAGGCAGCAGUGGGGAAUCUUGCGCAAUGGGCGAAAGCCUGACGCAGCGACGCCGCGUGAGCGAUGAAGGCCUUCGGGCUGUAAAGCUCUGUGGGGAGAGAAGAAUAAGGACAGACUAAUACUUUGCGUGAUGACGGUAUCUCCUUAGCAAGCACCGGCUAACUCUGUGGCCAGCAGCCGCGGUAAUACAGAGGGUGCAAACGUUGUUCGGAAUCACUGGGCGUAAAGCGGGUGUAGGCGGCAAGGCAAGUCGGGUGUGAAAUCCCAGGGCUCAACCCUGGAAGUGCAUUAGAAACUGCUUAGCUAGAGUCCUGGAGAGGAAGGUGGAAUGCUUGGUGUAAGGUGAAAUUCGUAAUAUCAAGCGGAAACACCGGUGGGCGAAGGCGGCCUUCCUGGGACAGUGACUGACGCUGAACGCGAAAGCGUGGGGAGCCAAACAGGAAUAAAUACCCUGGUAUUCCACGCCGUAACAAUGAGUGCUAUGGUUGUCACGGGCUUUGACCCUCGUGUGCCGAAGCUAACGCGUUAAGCACUCCGCCUUGGGGAGUACGCCGCAAGGCUAAAACUCAAAGGAAUUGACGGGGCCCGCACAAGCGGUGGAGCAUGUGGUUUAAUUCGACGCAACGCGCAGAACCUUACCUGGGCUAGAAAGUAUAGGAAUGCCGGUGAAAACUAGCAGUGCCCUUCGGGGAACCUAUAGUUAGGUGCUGCAUGGCUGUCGUCAGCUCGUGUCGUGAGAUGUUGGGUUAAGUCCCGCAACGAGCGCAACCCUUGCCGUUAGUUGCCAGCAUUAAGUUGGGCACUCUAACGGGACUGCCGACCUUUAAGUCGGAGGAAGGUGGGGAUGACGUCAAGUCCUCAUGGCCCUUACGUCCAGGGCUACACACGUGCUACAAUGGUCGGUACAAUGGGCUGCCAAACCGCGAGGUGGAGCCAAUCCCAAAAAACCGACCUCAGUACAGAUAAGAGUCUGCAACUCGACUCUUUGAAGGCGGAAUCGCUAGUAAUCCCUGAUCAGCAUAGCAGGGGUGAAUACGUUCCCGGGCCUUGUACACACCGCCCGUCACACCAUGGGAGUGGAUUGCUCCAGAAGUGGCUGAGCUAACUCGCAAGAGAGGCACUAUCCCCAAGGUAUGACUGGUGACUGGGGUGAAGUCGUAACAAGGUAGCCGUAGGGGAACCUGCGGCUGGAUCACCUCCUU
rnacentral:rRNA from 1 species